GAGGGCGGGGCUCCGGGAGGAAGGAGGAUAGGGAUUGGCGGGGGGCGGGGCUCCGGAAUAGGAAAAAAGGAGCAAUGCUCCGGGAGGAAGGAGGACAGGGGUUGGCGGGGAGGCGGGGCUCCGGAGAAAGGCCGGCGGUGGGGCGGGGCUCCAGGAGGAGGAAGGAGGGGGCAGGGCUACGGGAGGAAAGGGGAGGGGCUGCGGGAGGAAGGCUGGCGGUGGGGCGAGGCUCCCGGAGGAAGGAGGAAGGGGGCGGGGCCCCGGGAGGAAAGAGGAAGGAGCAUACACACUGGCGGUGGGACAGGGAUCCGGAGGAAGGAGGAAAAGGGCAGGGCUCCUGGAGGAAGCAAGGCGGGGCGCGGAACUCCAGGAAGGGCGGGUGGGCCUAGGGGUCCCUACAGCCCCUGUACGCUAGACACCCCGUGCUUCAGCCCAGAGAGGUGGUCCUCACUGUGCUCGGCGUCCUCCGUCCCCGGGUCAGUACACAGAGGUGUCCCCACUGUGGUCGGCGUCCUCUGUCCCCGGGUCAGCACACGGGGCGUCCUCACUGUGGUCAGCGUCCCCAUCCCCCGGGGUCAGCACACCGGGUGUCCUCACUGUGGUCGGCAUCCUCCAUCCCUGGGUCAGCAUACAGGAUGUCCCCAGUGUGGUCGGGGACCUCCGUCCCCCAGGUCGGCACACGGGGUGUCCCCACUGUGGUCGGCGUCCUCCGUCCCCGGGUUGGCACACAGAGGUGUCCUCACUGUGGUGCGCGUUCUCCGUCCCCCGGGUCAACACAUGGAGGUGUCCCCCCCAGGGCCCGUGGUCUGCGGGAGCUGCAAGUGGCGCCCCCAGGGCAGAGCGUGGUGCUGUCCGGGCUCCGUCCCCGCGUCCGGGCGGGCAGGUCGGUCAUCAGGGAGCGGGCCGUGGGGUCCGGCAGCAGCGGCAGGCCCCGCCCUCCGCCUGGGCAUCAGGUGUGCAGGAGUCGGACGGUCGGCGGCGUUGUCCGGGUGACCGAGGCUGAGCGCGGACAGGCAGGCUCGGGCCGGUGGGUGCGCGCCGCGGGCUCCUCCGCAGCGGUUCCGGCCGCCGAGACGGAAAGAAGCACCGGGUAGGCUCCGGGGUGCGGGAAGCGACACGGCGUCGACGUGGGCUCGUGAGCCGCUCGGCCGGGACACGUGGCAGCGACGCAUGCGCCUGCCGCCCGCCGUUUCCGCUCUCCGGGGCCCGCGCCCAGGGGUGAGGGAGCCUCGGGUGGGGCAGCGGGAGGCGGGGUCCUGGGCCGAAGGGUCCGCGGCGAUGGCCCCGAGAGGAGAGCAGAGCGUGUCG
rnacentral:lncRNA from 1 species